GGGUAAGUAGUCCAAUGGUUAGGACACUCGUCUCCAAAACGAGAAAUAUAGGUUCAAAUC
rnacentral:tRNA from 1 species